UACGUAGGGGGCAAGCGUUGUCCGGAUUUAUUGGGCGUAAAGCGCUCGCAGGUGGUUCGUCGCGUCGUGCGUGAAAGACCCCGGCUCAACUGGGGGAGGUCGUGCGAUACGGGCGAACUGGAGGCCAGUAGGGGGAUGCGGAAUUCCGGGUGUAGUGGUGGAAUGCGUAGAGAUCCGGAGGAACACCAGCGGCGAAGGCGGCUCUCUGGGACGGUACUGACGCUGAGACGCGAAAGCGUGGGGAGCGAACAGG
rnacentral:rRNA from 1 species